rnacentral:ncRNA from 2 species
AUGGACUACUAGGGGUGCCAGUUGGUGGCUGAGAGAAAAACAAAUUCGUUUUUUAACCCUAACGACCUGAUCUGGAUCAUACCAGCGUAGGGAAGUAGCGGAUUCACUCU